rnacentral:rRNA from 1 species
AUUGAACGCUGGCGGCAGGCCUAACACAUGCAAGUCGAACGGCAGCACAGAAGAGCUUGCUCUUUGGGUGGCGAGUGGCAGACGGGUGAGUAAUGUCUGGGAAACUGCCCGAUGGAGGGGGAUAACUACUGGAAACGGUAGCUAAUACCGCAUAACGUCGCAAGACCAAAGUGGGGGACCUUCGGGCCUCACACCAUCGGAUGUGCCCAGAUGGGAUUAGCUAGUAGGUGGGGUAAUGGCUCACCUAGGCGACGAUCCCUAGCUGGUCUGAGAGGAUGACCAGCCACACUGGAACUGAGACACGGUCCAGACUCCUAAGGGAGGCAGCAGUGGGGAAUAUUGCACAAUGGGCGCAAGCCUGAUGCAGCCAUGCCGCGUGUAUGAAGAAGGCCUUCGGGUUGUAAAGUACUUUCAGCGGGGAGGAAGGCGGUGAGGUUAAUAACCUCGCCGAUUGACGUUACCCGCAGAAGAAGCACCGGCUAACUCCGUGCCAGCAGCCGCUGUAA